rnacentral:rRNA from 1 species
CUCGUAGGCGGUUCGUCGCGUCCGGUGUGAAAGUCCAUCGCCUAACGGUGGAUCUGCGCCGGGUAUGGGCGGGCUGGAGUGCGGUAGGGGAGACUGGAAUUCCCGGUGUAACGGUGGAAUGUGUAGAUAUCGGGAAGAACACCAAUGGCGAAGGCAGGUCUCUGGGCCGUUACUGACGCUGAGGAGCGAAAGCGUGGGGAGCGAACA